UAAUCUUCAACUUGAAUGAAAUUAGUGUUUUGCUGUCAAAAUUCAGCCACUUCGUUCAAGUUCAAACUCUUUGCUAGCUUUAGCUUUGCAUCCUCUAGCUUCUUUCCCCUUAGGAAAGCUGUCUGAGCUAGACUUCCUCACCACAAUCCAUCCAAAACACGUUCAUCCAUUCUAUCAAACACCUUGAGCGCGUUCCAUCCAUUACAACCUUUCUCCAUUUUCGCUG
rnacentral:lncRNA from 1 species